rnacentral:tRNA from 1 species
GGGGGUAUAGCUCAAUGGUAGAGCAUCCGACUGCAGAUCGGAAUGUUCCCGGUUCAUACCCGGGUGCCCCCU